ACUCAUAGAGUCGCAGAGGGCUGAAAGCAGCACACUAGCUGGACAGCUGGGCAGGAAUUCCCUCUCAAGGAGAGGAGCUCCAGGGCUAGUCCUAACCUUUAGAAAGCUUCCCUUGUAAGAAGCUGGAACUGGCCUGCCCCUGGCUCCCUGCACGGCUCCUCCUGCUCAGCCUCUUGGACUCCCAGAACAAAGAUUUGAGGCCACAGUCAUGAUACCUCCAGAGUCUGUGCUUCUGUGGCCGCUGGGGACCCUAAGAGUGCAUGGCUUAGCUUCCUCCCUGCCCCCUUCCCAGCUCCCCAAAGUAGAGGGGGGAAUCAGACAGCAGAUCCCUUUCCCAGCAAGGCCCCAGCAAGGCCCCGAGUGGGGCUGGCCGGCUGGCCCGUAUCAAAUGAGCUGUGUUUAUCUCUCGGGCCUCCACUGGCAGAGAGGGCGGGACACAGCCCCGGCUGGGGUGCUUGUCAGAGCCAGCCCAACUCUCCAAGGACUGAAUAAUGUCUUUCUUCCUCAGUCCCCUCCCCCCACCAGGGAGGGGCCGAUUGCGACACUACCGCAGCUUUAGGUCUCAGCCUUGUUGCUGAAGAAACCCUCUCCCACCUUCCUUGGGGCAGCCCUGCAGCCUGGCUCCUGUGCCAGUUGGCACCCCACCCCCUCACUGCCUGCUCAGAGCAUGGAGACAGAGAAAAUGUCUCAGCCUGUGCCCAGGCCGCCCCACCAAAAGACCUGGCAGCGGCUGAGAACAUGGGGGACCUGGCAGGCCUGUCCUGCACCCCAGGAGGCUUCCUGUGGCCACAACCCCACCCCACCACACCCUCCAAGGUCUCACCAUCUGCCAUCUGAACUCACAAACCAUACACCAUGUACAAAAAGGUCAGGUGCCUGGGCAGAUGUGGAAACAGUCCUAGAAGAGGGUCAGGAGUCGCCUAAGACAUUGAUUUAUGCCAGCACAAACUCGAAUGGCAGUCUUUGGAUCUUUGGGGGGCUGCUUAUGGGAAUAUCUUCCCCCUAAAGGGGCAGGACUGGAAGAAAAGCCUUUAAAUUGCAAACGGAAGGAUCCAGAUGCAGCCAGGGCAACAAUGCCUGGAGAAAAGCCUUGGGGGCUAAGAAGGCUGUGCCAAGAGGAAGGGAGGCAGGUGUGGAGGGCAUUCUGUGGUAAGUCCCUUUCAAGAAACAACGGGUAAGUGUUAGGAGGAAACCUUCAGGGCCCAAGGAAGGGGAGGAGACAUUUACUGAGUACUAGGCAUUGUGCUGGCUAAUUUAGCACGGUCACCUCCUUGAAUCCUCCCAAGAACCCUUUGGGUUCCAGGUGCAUCUGUGUCUCAGAUGAAGAAACUGAGGCUCAGAGAAGUUGUGAUGUAUGAAAAGUCACACAGCUGCUGAGGGCCAGAGGCAGGACUUGAACCCAAAACUGAGUUCUUUCCAUUACUCGUUAACUAAGGACUUCUAUGAGUCUCAUGCUGCUGGCAGCCCAGAGACGACCAGACACGCAGCCUGCCCUCACAAGCAGAGACAGGAAUGAAACAGAAUCCAGCCCCGCCAGCUCCAGAAAGUCACGUGCAAAAGAAAGGCAGCAAAAGAAAGGGGGAGGUGGGCUGUGGAGAGGACAGAGUGCUAGGCUGGAACUUGGGAAACCAGGGUCUUCAUCCCAGGCCCCGUGCUGUGUAACCUAGAGCAGACCCCUACCCCUCCUUGUCCUCCGUUUCUUUAUCAGGUAUUUUAAGAUUUGAACUUAGCUCCUUCCUUCUCAUUAAGUGAGUUUUUGGUUUUGUUUUCCAUCCUCACAGCAUUCCAAGAGACUGGGGAUGGGGAGGGCAUCCACCAGCCUUUUGCAGGGGCGGGGGAAACUGAGGUUCAGAGAGAUGAUUUAAACUGUUUGAGGUUACAGGGCAUCUAAGUGGAGGAGUGUGAAUUAGGAGACUGAUAUUUUUAAUGACACUACCAUGAACCAGCUAGUUGCUGGUGCUAGUUGCUUCACUUAUUUUCUCCAAUUUAAUUCUUACAACAGUCCUGGGAUUUUAACUCCCAUUUUAAAGAUUAGGAAACUGAGGCUUAGAGAGGUACCCUCCACUUGCUGGUGGUAUUAAAAAGAUGAGGGAUAGGGCGACUGGGUGGCUCAGUGGGUUAAGCAUCUGCCUUCGGCUCAGGUCAUGAUCUCAGGGUCCU